AUACGGGGGGUGCAAGCGUUGUCGGGAAUCAUUGGGCGUAAAGGGUUCGUAGGUGGAAUUAUAAGUCUGGUGUGAAAGCCCACAGCUCAACUGUGGAACUGCACUGGAUACUGUUUUUCUUGAGUUAUAGAGGGGUUUGUGGAAUUUCUGGUGUAGAAGUGAAAUUUGUAGAGAUCAGAAAGAACACCGGUGGCGAAGGCGACAAACUGGCUAUUAACUGACACUGAGGAACGAAAGCGUGGGGAGCGAACAGGAUUAGAAACCCGAGUAGUAC
rnacentral:rRNA from 1 species